AUAAAGAAAAACCAUUACAGUUACAGAUUUCAAAAGUAAAAACAUAACAACAUUGGAUCCCUUUUCCACCCGUUGUUUCCUCACAAAAUACAUAUUGUUACUCUCAAUCCAUCCAUCAAACUUUAUACUAUUUUUAAAAAUAAAUUAACCUCGUGAUAAUUUUGUCCAUUUUCCACAUUUGGAAACAACUUUCUGUUUUUAUGUUACUACACUACUAUAUAUUAUGUACUUUUUCAUCCGUGUUAAAGUAACCACCAUUCCAUCAUGAUAUCCUCAUUAUCACCAUAUCCAUAUCCAAUGUAACCGUAACCAUGAAAAAUAUGACACACCAAAAAAAAAGGAAACCCAACCUGUUGUAACCAAAUUUUUUUUUUUUUUUUUUUUUUUUUACACUUUUAACCACAUUUACCAACCUUAUACUCUCUCUCUCUAUCUCUCACACACAAGUAACCAUGUAACCAACCCUAAUAAUCAAUACAAAUGUAACCCUCAUUAAAAAU